GCGGGCAUGGCGGAACUGGUAGACGCAUCGGACUUAAAAUCCGAAGUCGCAAGGCGUGCCGGUUCGAUUCCGGCUGCCCGCACCA
rnacentral:tRNA from 1 species